CAAUUAUAAUGACAUGAUUGAUAGUUUUGUAAAGUAUUUUAGGAAACAAUAACAUUCUCUCAACUUUUAUAGAAAACAUAGUGAAUUACAUUCUUCACAUAUUUAGUUCAAAAGAAAAAAAUUAGUCAGCUCAUCAAUUACAUAUAACCUAAUUUAUUAUUAAAAAUAAUUACCAUGAUCUUGUAUUUUACAUAAGGAAUGUUCGUCAAAUUUUUAAUAUAAUUUCCGAAACAUAAAUAAAAAAUGAGAACUACUUUUUAAACAUUAUCAUGCACUCUAUAUGCUACGUGGAAUAAUAGGAUUCUUAAGAUGAAGAUAAAUAGAACAUAUAUACGUGGAAUACUUUACAACCUAAGCUCAAUAAAAU
rnacentral:lncRNA from 1 species